UGAGGAGAGAGAAAUGUGAGGUGCUUUAACUUCUCUCUAAGUUCCUCAUUCCUCCUCCUUCUCUCUAGAUUUUUAUAGUUCUAAUCUUCUUCUUUCUUGCUCAUUUUUGGAUAUGUGGUAGAGGAGCAAAGGCUCUACAAUGCAUUUUUCAUUUUGAGCACUUGGAUGCAAAGACAUGACAUCCAUCAUUUGCGCCAACCUCACAAUCCUAAUGUUGCACCCUUCCUCUAGUUCCCUAAACACAUUUUUCACUUUCUUCGACUUCCUCCGGUCCUUGCACUCUACCCCCUCACUGUCGCAAACGUCGCCACUACAAAUGCCUUUAUCGUGAAUGUCAUCACUGCCAAAGGUGAAAACUUGAUCUUUUAGCUUCUCUGGGCCUUUUACAGCCCCUACCUAUGCCUAACAGGGUAUGGGAUGCUAUUGGUAUGGACUUUAUAAAAGGUUUACCACACUCCCAUGGUAAGCAAGCUAUAUUUGUGGUGGUUGAUAGACUGAGUAAGUAUGCACAUUUCAUUGCAUUAGCACAUCCUUACAUGGCUUUGUAUAUAGCUCAGUUAUUUUUAGAUAACAUUUUCAAGUAACAUGGCUGGCCAAUCACCAUUACUUGUGACAAAGACCCCAUUUCCCUUAAUAGGAUUUGGAGUGAAUUAUUUCAGCUACAGAGUACUUCAGUUAACAAAUCCACAUCUUACCAUCCACAAACAUCCACAAACUGAUGGUCAAAAUGAAGUGGCGAACAAGUGUUUGGAAACUUACCUUCACUGCAUGUGUUUUAGGAAGCCCACUAGAUGGUCUAAAUGGUUAUCCCUGGCUAAAUGGUGGUACAACACCAACUUCCAUUCUUCUAUUCAGACCACACCAUAUGAAGUUGUCUACGACCAAGCUCCUCCGAUCCAAUUACCCUUCAUGCCUGGGGAAGUUGCUAACCCAACUGUUGACAGGACUCUGAGUAAAAGGGAACAAGUGAUUCAGCUGCUGAAAUUUCACCUUACCCGAGCCCAAAAUUGAAUGGCCCAGCAGGCUGACAAGCACUGAUUUGAUAGUGUUUGUCAUUGGGGACUUUUUCUAUUUAAAGCUACAACCUUAUAGACAAUUCACCAUGCGACACUCCUCAUUUCAUAAGCUGCUACCUAAGUACUAUGCUCCCUUUCAAGUGCUGGAAAGAAUUGGCUCUAUGGUGUAUCAGUUGCAACUACUUCCCAAUGUUGAAGUCCAUUAUGUAUUCCACAUUUCUCAGUUGAAGCUCUGAACAAAUCCUCAUGUUACCACAAUCCAUCCUCUUCCUGCUAAUUCCACUAUGUCGUUCAAGAAAGAAAAGCCUGAAGCUAUUUUGGAUAGAAAGAUGGAGCAUUAAAGUACUCAUCAAAUGUAAAGGUCUUCUUAUAGAGCAUGCCAAUUGGGAGUUCUACUAUGAUUUGCUCAAGAAAUUUCCCUCUUUCCGUCGUUCAGGACAAGGAUGUACUCGAAGGGGAGGGUAUUGUUACAACAUUUAGGAAGCAUAAAUAAUUUCUGUUGUAACUUUCUUUUACUUUACUAUUUUUACCCUUUUGCUUUUUUUUUCCUUUUGCUUAAAAUUUAUUGUGCAGUGUUGGCACUAAUUGGUAGGCAAUGGUUUUGUUACCGCACCCUUCCUAUAGGUUUUGUAACUAAUCGAGUAUGUAGCAUAGUUGUGCAAAGGAAUGAGUAACAAAAAUAUUCCACCAA